GUGGGGGGGAGCAGUCAUCUUGCAUAGGAUGUCGGCAAUCUCAGAAACCUCUGGGAGUCUGCUUUUCAUGUAGCAAACAACCUAGUAAGAAAAACUAGCUUUGGAGCCAGCCCUGGCUGGAAAAAAAUGAAGUUAAAUGAAACUCUCUCCGCAACGUUGGGCUAAAACCUUUUGCUGUUUCUUGCUGAGCCUACCUGGCUGAUGCCAUCGGUGAAAGACAAAUCAGAACAGAUGAAGAAUGUGACUUUCAGGGGAUAAAUUAGCACCAGAAGCCUGGAAGGAACUCCCCGCCAGCAGGAGGCGGCCAGCUCUAGCUUCCUGGGGCUUUGAAAAAGGCCUGGCUCAGUCCCGAGGCUGUGACAUGGUGGAGGAAAUGCUGGACUAAGAACCAGACACCUGGCUUUGAGAACCCAGGUCUGCUGUGAACUCACUGAAUCUAUUCUCCUGUCUGUAAAAUGGGGAUGAUAGUAGAGAUAUUCUGGAAUUAAAUGAAAAUGACCGGCUAUGUUACUCAUGUUCUCGAUAGAAGGGAAAAAGAAAAACUCUUCAUUCAAGAGAAGUCAUGAUUUUAAAGUAUAUUCUACGAACGCUUCACUGUCAAGGACUCUGUGGAGGAGGGAAUGGAGGACAGUGUUUUUAGAAGCUGUGACCUCUGGGCAAGCCUCACUUUAAACAGUGAAAGUGUCGCUUAAAAGUUGGCUGCAAGUCAGAUUUUUGUCCACUAAACCCUGCUUCAAGUGCCCAGUGGAAACUUGCUCCAUAAAAUAAUUACAUGGUGAAAGUUUUAUGGAGGAUGGUUUUUAUUCAAAGUCACCCCCUAAAUCAACUGACUUGUAAAUGAUGUGUUCUGUAACUACAAAAUGAAGACCCCGAGAAGCUUCAGGGACCUCAAAGAUGCUGGAUUCAAUACCUGCAUAUUACAGACAGAGAAACUGAGGUACGGAGAGGACACACAGAGGCCACCACCCUGCAUGAGAUGAGCCCCAUGGCAGAAACUUGGUUACAAUGACUAAUGUAAUCGAUCAGGCUAAGUCACUCCCUACAUUUCACUUUCAAAUGUUUCAAAUCAUGAAGAUUGCUUGACUAGCUGUUGGCUUUGUGGUAUGAAGACACAGCCAAAGAAAGGGUGAGCAGUCUUUUUCUUUUGACUUGGUAAAGCUAGGAAGGCAAAUGAAUGAGGGAAAGAAAUCAUAUCCAUAUUAUUCACUUUGCAGCUGUAUUUAUCUGGCAGUUCAGUUUGUCAGUUCAAGGGGGAAAAGGACCAUUGGGGAGGGGAGGGGAGGAGAAACUCUAAGGACAAAUUACAAUGGGCAUUCUGAAAAGACAGUAACUUUUUAUUUUUCUAUGGCAUUUAAGACCCAGACUUGAAUUCUUUAUUCAAUUAAAAACACCCACUAAGGUCAGGCAAAAUUUAACCAUGUAAUGCAGGAUGCUGGUGGCCUUUUUGGGAGCAGAAACCACUUCCUGGCUCCAGAACUGGAUCUGAGGAGAGACUCAGGGAGAUGAGGGCAGGUUGCUGCAUUGAACCUCUCAUCUUCAGUCUUGAGAGGACUGAAGGGGGGCUCCAUUGCUGAUAAAGCUUCCCAUCCUACUGCUCCAGGAAGCCCCAGGGAGCACAGAGAUGAUGUGGGAAGCAGGAGGUGGAAGCUUAGGGGUUUCCACCAUCUUGGAGGCCUUCAGAUAAGGUGUAACCACCCACCUGUGGAUCACAAUAGGGACCCUGGGGAGAGGGGCUUGUAAAGGAUUAAAGCAGAGUUGGAAGGAGGCCCAGGGAAGCCAGGAGGCCGAGCUGAGGCAGGCUCAAUGCCCAGUCUGAGCUGUAGAGGAGUAGCUGAGCUCUGCACUUUGCCAGCCAUAUGACCAUGGACCGAUUUACCCUGCCUAAGUCACAAUUUUCUCCUGUGUAAAACGAGGAUAAUAAUAGUAUGUAUCACAUAGAGUUGUUGAGAAAAUGAAAUAUGAUAAUGUAUCUAAAAGUGCUUCUUGUGCAGUCUGAUAUGUGUGAAAGAUUUAUUAUCAUCACCACCAUCAUUCUCAUCAUGGUUGCAAUAGGACUUGCAUUCUGAACAUGUGACUCCUGGGACCUGGGAAGCAAAGCUCUCAAAUAAAAAUGAGGUUAGCUGAAGCGUAGAUUCACUCUGGGAAGCAGACACUUCUGAGCAGAAUGACACACUGUGGCCUUGUCAAGGCUUCUGCCAUGGGAAGGAACUAAGUUGCCUC